CAGUCGCCGCGGGAAUACAGAGGGUGCAAGCGUUAAUCGGAAUUACUGGGCGUAAAGCGCGCGUAGGUGGUUCGCCAAGUUGGAUGUGAAAUCCCCGGGCUCAACCUGGGGACUGCAUCCAAAACUGGCGAGCUAGAGUAUGGUAGAGGGUGGUGGAAUUUCCUGUGUAGCGGUGAAAUGCGUAGAUAUAGGAAGGAACAUCAGUGGCGAAGGCGACCACCUGGACUGAUACUGACACUGAGGUGCGAAAGCGUGGGGAGCAAACAGGAUUAGAUACCCCGGUAGUCCCUGUCUCUUAUAC
rnacentral:rRNA from 1 species